UAUUUGGAGAAAUCCAUUGCUCCAUGAAUAUACAUCUGUCAAUGCUGUGGCUUUAUUAUGUCACGGUCAUCCUAUCCUGAGCUGCCAGGAGUGCUCAUGACCCAUGUAUGAAGCUCAGCUUCAAACAUUAGGGACACAAUGGCUGAGAAUGAGCAAAGCUGAUGGAAACUAGUCUGGAAUGCACAAGGUUCAAGAAGGUGCGAGGAAUCCGUGGUGUUUCACCGUCAGUAAUUUUGCAGAUGAAGAAUAUGCCUUUUGUAUGGAGUAUGACAAGACUUGUUCAAAGUAUUUUCCAGUUGGUACAGAAGUUGGGGAGAGCGGCGGCACCCUCUAUCUGCUAGGAUAUGCGCAAGAGGCUGAGUGCUCUCAAGAAGGUGUCUGGCUUUCGCAGGGCUCACUGUGAGCCUGCACACAGGACCGACGAGGACAGUUAAAGGUUUUGUUCUAAGGGUGGCGUAUUGGAAGAAUGUGGCGCACCUCGUAAUCCUGGGAAGAAGACAGAUCUGGAGUCCACUGUGGAGUGACUUCGUGAGAGUGGUGGUGAUCUGCAGCAUCUGGCUAACGAGAUGUCUGUCUUUUAUUAAGUUAUGGGUGUAGUUUCUGUGCCUUUGUCCUCACGGCUGGGAUUUCCAAGGAGUGGGAUUUUUUUACAUCACUGUAACAGUUGUUCCCCCGGGGGUGGGCAAGUCCUGUUCGGCUGCUGAGAAGUGUGCCUCUAGCGGUUGGAGUGUGUAUUACAAGUCUAUAGGUAAAUCGUGGGGUGGUUACAGUGGUUGGCAGGCUAUUGUUAUUGACGAUUUUUAUGGGUGGAUUCCAUAGGAUGAGAUGUUAGAUCUUAAGGAUAGGGGUCCUCAUUAAGUGCCCAUAAAGAGUGCUUUUUCUGAGUUUAAUAGUAGAUAUAUUUUUAUUAGUUCUAAUAGCCCUCCUUGUUCUUGGAAUUCCAAUGAGCAGUGCAUUACUAUGUUGUCUGCAUUGUAUCCGUGUGUUGAUGAGGAUUUG